CCUACGGGUGGCAGCAGUGAGGAAUAUUGGUCAAUGGACGGAAGCCUGAACCAGCCAUGCCGCGUGCAGGAAGACGGCCCUAUGAGUUGUAAACUGCUUUUGUACAAGGGUAAACCUGAAUACGUGUAUUCAGCUGAAAGUACUGUACGAAUAAGGAUCGGCUAACUCCGUGCCAGCAGCCGCGGUAAUACGGAGGAUCCAAGCGUUAUCCGGAUUUAUUGGGUUUAAAGGGUGCGUAGGCGGAUUGAUAAGUUAGAGGUGAAAUGUCCGAGCUUAACUCGGGAACUGCCUCUAAUACUGGUGAUCUAGAGAGUAGAUGCGGUAGGCGGAAUGUAUGGUGUAGCGGUGAAAUGCUUAGAGAUCAUGCAGAACUCCGAUUGCGAAGGCAGCUUACCAAUCUAUAACUGACGUUGAGGCACGAAAGCGUGGGGAGCAAACAGGAUUAGAUACCCCAGUAGUC
rnacentral:rRNA from 1 species